AUUGAACGCUGGCGGCAUGCUUUACACAUGCAAGUCGAACGGUAACAGGCCGCAAGGUGCUGACGAGUGGCGAACGGGUGAGUAAUGCAUCGGAACGUGCCCAGUCGUGGGGGAUAACUACUCGAAGGAGUAGCUAAUACCGCAUACGAUCUAUGGAUGAAAGCGGGGGACCGUAAGGCCUCGCGCGAUUGGAGCGGCCGAUGUCAGAUUAGGUAGUUGGUGGGGUAAAGGCUCACCAAGCCAACGAUCUGUAGCUGGUCUGAGAGGACGACCAGCCACAUGGGAACUGGGAAACGGCCCGAAUCCCUACGGGGGGCAGAAGUGGGGAAUUUUGACCAAGGGGCGAAAGCCGGUCCCAGAAAUGCCGCGUGAAGAAGAAGGCCUUCGGGUUGUAAACUGCUUUUGUACGGAACGAAACGGCUCUGGUUAAUACCCGGGGCUAAUGACGGUACCGUAAGAAUAAGCACCGGCUAACUACGUG
rnacentral:rRNA from 1 species